CUCAUCAUCUUUUAAAUACCCAUGGCUUCAUCCAGUCAUAGCAUCAGUUACGAAGCUCAUGAUCUGAUAAACAGAAUCAGCUCUGGAUAUGGUCUGUUUGGACAGCUACCAUAAACAUGGCUUGAUCAGCUCAAUAUUCUGCAUAAAUAUAAAAGAAACCAGAAGUUCUCUGGCUAUAGCUGUUUCCUGAGGAGAAGAAUUCAUGCCAAGUUUCUGUGGCAGAGAUAUCAGAGAAUACAGCUGAGAGACUGACCCAGCCAACACUGCAUAGAGCAGAAGUACUGCCUGGCAAGCU